GCCCAGACUCCUACGGGAGGCAGCAGUGGGGAAUAUUGCACAAUGGGGGAAACCCUGAUGCAGCGACGCCGCGUGAGCGAUGAAGUAUUUCGGUAUGUAAAGCUCUAUCAGCAGGGAAGAAAAUGACGGUACCUGACUAAGAAGCCCCGGCUAACUACGUGCCAGCAGCCGCGGUAAUACGUAGGGGGCAAGCGUUAUCCGGAUUUACUGGGUGUAAAGGGGGCGCGGACGGCAGCGCAAGCCAGGAGUGAAAGCCCGGGGCCCAACCCCGGGACUGCUCUUGGAACUGCGCGGCUGGAGUGCAGGAGGGGCAGGCGGAAUUCCUGGUGUAGCGGUGAAAUGCGUAGAUAUCAGGAGGAACACCGGUGGCGAAGGCGGCCUGCUGGACUGCAACUGACGUUGAGGCCCGAAAGCGUGGGGAGCAAACAGGAUUAGAUACCCUAGUAGUA
rnacentral:rRNA from 1 species